AUAGUUAGGGCCUAAUCCAAAAUUCUUUGAAGUCAGUGGGAUUAUUUCCACUGACUUCAGUGGCAUUUGGAUCAGGCCCAUAAUGU
rnacentral:pre_miRNA from 1 species